UACGUAGGGUGCAAGCGUUGUCCGGAAUUAUUGGGCGUAAAGAGCUCGUAGGCGGUCUGUCGCGUCGGCUGUGAAAACCCGAGGCUCAACCUCGGGCCUGCAGUGGGUACGGGCAGACUAGAGUGCGGUAGGGGAGAUUGGAAUUCCUGGUGUAGCGGUGGAAUGCGCAGAUAUCAGGAGGAACACCGAUGGCGAAGGCAGAUCUCUGGGCCGUAACUGACGCUGAGGAGCGAAAGCAUGGGGAGCGAACAGG
rnacentral:rRNA from 1 species